rnacentral:rRNA from 1 species
UAACACGUAAAGAACCUACCUUAUAGACAGGGACAACUAUUGGAAACGAUAGCUAAUACCUGAUAAGAAAGAAACUCGCAUGAGAGAAGUUCGAAAGUCGGAGCAAUCUGACACUAUAAGAUGGCUUUGCGGUGCAUUAGCUAGUUGGUAGGGUAAAAGCCUACCAAGGCGACGAUGCAUAGCCGACCUGAGAGGGUGAUCGGCCACAUUGGGACUGAGACACGGCCCAGACUCCUACGGGAGGCAGCAGAC